rnacentral:lncRNA from 1 species
GUGCAGCCACAGCAUACGUAAUUCUCAACCAUAAAUCUGAGCAGAAGAAGCCAGAUAUGCAUACUGUAUAGUCCUUUUUAUAUGAAGUCCUAGGAGAGGUUAAAAAAAAGUUACUGUGAUAGAAAUCAGCUUAGUCAUUGCCUGCGGUCAGGUUUUGGAAAAGAACUGAAUGAGUAGGGGCAUAAACAUUUUAUGGAGUGAUAGACCUUUUUCAUAUCUUGCUCGUGGUAAUAGUUUUAAACACAGUUGUCACAGCAGCAUACCGUGCAAUUGAAAGGUAGGCAUAUUAUUAUAUAUAACAUAAUUCAAAAGAGUUGAUUACAAAUGUUAUAAUCAGAGCUAUGCUUCAGAAAGAUCAUUUUUCCAUGAUGUUUAUAUGGAGUGAAAGGCAAGAGGUGGAGGUUAGAAAGAUAGUGGGGGUGUUAAACCAAGUAAGAGAAUGUUGUAAUAUUCUAGAUAAGAGGUAAAGCAGACCUGUGAUGGAAAAUAUGAAAUGUAAAGAGAAAUAUAAAGCAGUAUUUGAGGACUUUAUGUGUUCUGUGUUUGCCGAACUUCUAAAUUGCCGAGCCAAAUUCUUAAAAUAUGUAGCCAUUUGAUUUUCUUGUUUCAAGCUAUUAUAAUGAUGGUAUACUUCACAAAAGAGUUAUUAAUAGACAAAUAAGACUACACUGAGGUAAAUGUCAAAAGCAAAUGACGCACUUACUAGUCUAUGCUCCUUGCAUAGCCAAUCUCUUAUUAUAAAUGGGUAGGAAUAGGUUAAAGCCAAUGAAAACAACAUUUCUGAAGUAUUCACUCAAGAUACCCAAAUAUUCAGAAAAAUUAUCACUCUUUGGUUGAAAGUCCUGUGGAUCUUUAGCUCAAUUUUUUUUUUUAAAGUUUUGGGAUGCAAAUUUGAAAAAAAAAAGAAAAAUGUGGUAUGAUUUUAUAUAAAUUCUUUGUUUGGUAUAGUUUUCAACAGCCACCUUUGGAAGAAUAAUAGAAUAGCAAGUUCAUGACCUAUUGAAGGCAUUUAGUCAAAUAUAUUGAACAAUGAAUUUUAAUUAUGUUAAGAAAAACUGGACUACUUACCUUUUAAAGACGGAAUUAAAAUAAUAUUUUUUCAUGGUGCAAAAUUUUUAUCUAUAAGGGAGAAUACCUUCUCUUCUUCCUUUGUCUAUUUGAAUGCUCUUUCAAUAAAAACAAAACUCUUACAAAAAGAAACAGCUGGCAUUGCUCUAAUAGGUGAAGUACAAGUAUUUUGACAAGAUUACCAUGAAUUAAGGUUAACUAUGCUGGGAAGUCAGAAGUAGCUAACAUGGAGAGAUUAAUAUUCUGAUAAAAAGAGAAAAUGUCUUAGAGAAAGUAAAGGUUAAGGGUUAAAUACCCUAGUAUUUGACUGUUGGUCAAACAAUUCUCUGUGGUUUACAUCUUAGUUUAAGAUCUGAGAUGUAAACCUUCACUUUUGCACAAAUACAUAAUAAUAAAAUAUGUUGUGUUAAUAUACAUUUAAAGUGAGGAAUUUGGAAGGAGUGAUAUUUGAAUUUUUUAAAGGCAGAGAAAUACUGCAACUUGGAAUAGCCUUUACUCUGCUUUUAGCAAAGAUGUUAUCUUCAGGAAAAUGUAUAUGAAUGUGUUUCACAUAAAAGUGUUAGAGAGAACCUUAAUUUUUUGAGCUUAGAACUUCCCUAGUCAUUCACAUUUGACUUAUUAACGAGUGAAUCUUAAGAGACACUUUAUUUAUAACAUACAAGCAUGGAAAGAAUAAAAAGUCUGUAAGCUAAGUUUUAGGAAAAUAAAGCUUGUUAUCAGAGAGUUAGAUAGAGUUCUAAUUUAAUUUAAUCUUUUUUAUAGCUGAUAUGGAAAUGCAUACUUGCAAGGCUGCGUCAGUCACAGAAUUUUGAUUGGAAUAUAUCUGUAAGUAUACUCUUGUGAUGUGCAAUUUUUUUCCAGAAAGUUAUGGGUUGUAUAUAACUCUUGUCUUUGUAGUAUACCAACACAGAGGCCCAUCUCUGAAUUCCCAGACUAGUUUUGUGGUCCUACACUCAGUACAUCCUUAGUGCUCUCUGCUUACUCUCUUAGUACACUUGUCACAUUACAUUAUACUUGCUGGUCUGUCUCCUCUGGGAGAUUAUAGAUUCCAUGAAAGCAGAGGCCAGUCUGUAAGCACAAUAUCUCAAACAAAUGUGGGUGUUUAGUAAAUAUUAGUAAAAAUCUUUAAAUGGAGCAAAUUAAGAACCAAAGAUCUUAAACUAAAAUUAUUUUAAAUAAACAUCUUACCUACUUUUGACUUAAUGCCAACAAUAAUGAAAUGAUAGAAGUACACAAUGAUUUUGAAUUAUGAAUUAAAUUGUUUUAAAUGUGUGGCUCCUCGGUUCCUCUUUGUUUUGCAUCUGGUCUGUCAUCAAUAGUUCUCAGCAAGUCUCUCUAGUAAAAAGAGCACUGUUAUACUACCACAUCACUGAGGCUUGUAUGCUUUCAUUCUAAGCCAGAAAAUUGUUUUGUGAAGAAGAAAGGGCAAAAUAAAACUUUUUCUGAUAAUAUACUAUGUAUAUAAAAUUGUACCUUGAUCAAAUAAGAAGCCAGAAAAUAAAAGAGCUGUGAUGCAUCAUAUAUUUUCAUUCACUUGCAUUGCUUUAAAAAAAUUCAUGGACUUCAAUUUUCUACAAAAGAGACAUUAAAGAUAUAAAAUAAUACUCUAGUACUGGGUAGCUUUCUCCUCAAUUUCCUCAAUGUAAAUGAGUGUCUUGAAAUUUCCUCCUGUUCUUAAGAGAAAUUUAAUCUUUGACUAGUUUGGAAAUGCAUUUUAUAAAUAUGAUUUCUUUUCUGACGAUGUGAAAAAAUUUUAUUCCUGAAAAAAUCUUCAAUGCUGAACUGUUCAUUUUCUUCACAUCAGACAUAGAAAAAGUAAGGUUGUACCAGAUCUGGCACAGUGGCUAUAAACCUUGCUGUGGAACCUGACUGCGGGGUUGGCAUUCUGGGUCUGCACUUAGGAGCUGUGUGGUACAGAGCAACGUAGUAUAAUUCUAGUUAUUGUUGUCCUUCUUUGUAAAACAGGGUUAGUAGGGAAGCUUAACAAUAGCAUCAGCGUGGGUAUUAAAAUAAGUGAAUGCAGGACACUGAGGGCCAUGCCUGAUACAAAGUGAGCACUCAGUAAGAACUGACUCUCUACUCUGGAAAUUCCAAAGCCUGUUCAAAUCUGUAUUCAAGUCAAUUUUCUUAACCGAGUAUAGCCAUUGCUUAUAAUGGUUAAUGAAAAUAUCAAUGAUAUUUUUGAAAUAGGCACUUUGUGAGGGGCAGAAUUAUCUUUUAUUACAUGUUAAUGAUAACUAUCUUACUGGUAAAUGAUUAAGUACAUAGAUGAGGGAAAUGGAGCAGAUAGUAUGGUGAAAAUACAUAGAUUAAACUUAAUUCAUAUGACACAUAGUAUAUUUUAAUGUCUCUAUUUUUCAUCUUAAACUAGCUCAUUAAUUUGUCAUUCAUUUGAGAAGGAGACUAUAACCAGAUACUGGUUUUCUAAGGAUUCCAGGAGAAGACAUCAGAGGAAGAUAUGUUGUUCUGCAUUUAUGUUAACAAGUUUUUAUUUUUAUUAAUUUUUAUUUAUUUGUUUAUUCUUUUCAGGGCCACAUCUGCAGCAUAUGGAAAUUCCUGUGCUGCAGCUGCUGGCCUACCCACAGCCAUAGCAAUGCAAGAGAGCUGCAUCUGAGAGCUACACUAUAGCUUACAGCAAUGACAGAUUCUUAAACCGCUGAGCCAGGCUGGAGAUCAAACCUGCAUACUCAUGGACACUGUCAGGUUGUUAAAUUUUUUAAGAGAAAUGUAAUCAGACCAGAGGAUUGAUUGUGCACAUGCUUAUUUAUAUAGCUGAGAUGUGUUUGUUGUCAUCAACAAAGUAUAUAUCAACAAAAUAAUAUCAAAAACCAUUGAAAGAAUCAUUGGGAACCAAUAUUCAUGGGCAACACUACAGAAAAUGCAGAAUCAUGAGUGGUGAUGCAAUCAGUGUUAAAUAAAUGAUAUUCAGAAACUGGAAAGGCAAGACUUUCUGUAUUGUUUCCUGACAUUAUGAGUACUAGUAGAAUUGCCAAUGUUUUUCAGGCUUUUUAAAAAGUUAAUUUUUAAAUAGGGUAUAAUUGCCAUACAACAUCAUCUUAGUUCCAGGUGUAGAACAUAGGAUUUGAUAUUUGUAUAUAUUGCAAAAUAAUCACCACAAUAAGUCAUUACCAUUCACCACCAUACAUAUUUACAAAAUUGUUUUUCUUGUGCUGAGAACUUUUUUAAGAUUUAGUAACUUGCAAACACACAAUACAGUAUUAUUAACUACAGUGGCCAGGCUGUACAUCACAUCCCCAUGGUUUUAUAAUUGGAAGUUUUUACCUUUGGACCCCCUUUACCCAUUUUGCCCACUCUCCACCCCUGACCUGGAAACCACCAAUCUGUUCUCUGCAUCUGUGAGCUUGGUUUGUUUUUUUGUUUUUUAGAUUCCGUGUGUACAUGAGAUCAUAGUAUAUCUUUAUCUCUUGGUGGGAGAUAUGAAAUUAGCCAGGAUGGUGCCUUUAACAAUAACCAUAAAGAGAUGGUUCCUGGACAUUAAGAGGAAGAACUGGUGCCUGGAUGCAGAAAAAACAAAAGAACAGGAAACCUUCUUGUGCACUGAUUGGUCAAUAAACUGAAUACAGAAAGUCUCCAUAUGAAAGUUUUCUCUAUCCAUUAUUCUGAAUCUUCAUUGAUAAUCCACUAUUCCUCACAUGGCAUUAUUUAUUUUGUUAUCAAACUCAUCUUGUAGACAAAAGCCUUAUCAAAUAUAUUCCUCUGGAAUCCUGCACAACCAAUAAUAUUAAGUUAAUAUUAUUAUUAUUAUUAUUAUUAUUACUCUAUGGAGUUCUCGUCAUGGCUCAGUGAUUAACGAAUCUGACUGGGAACCAUGAAGUUGCAGGUUCAAUCCCUGGCCUUGCUCAGUGGGUUAAGGAUCCGGUGUUGCCAUGAGCUGUGGUGUAGGUCACAGACACGGCUCAGAUCCCACAUUGCUGUGGCUCUGGCGUAGGCUGGCAGCUACAGCUCCAAUUAGACCCCUAGCCUGGGAACCUCCAUAUGCUGUGGGAGCGGCCCUAGAAAAG